GGAGGCGUCGCAUAGCGGCCUAGUGCGCAUCCUUGGAAAGGAUGUAUGUCUGAAAGGGCAUCAGAGGUUCGAAUCCUCUCGCCUCCG
rnacentral:tRNA from 1 species